CAUAAUCUCUACGGAGAAAAGCAGGGGAUCGCAAGACCUUGCGCUUUUGGAGCGGCCGAUGUCUGAUUAGCUAGUUGGUGAGGUAAAGGCUUACCAAGGCGUCGAUCAGUAGCUGGUCUGAGAGGACGACCAGCCACACUGGGACUGAGACACGGCCCAGACUCCUACGGGAGGCAGCAGUGGGGAAUUUUGGACAAUGGGGGAAACCCUGAUCCAGCCAUGCCGCGUGAGUGAAGAAGGCCUUCGGGUUGUAAAGCUCUUUCAGCCGGGACGAAACGGUCACAGCUAAUACCUGUGACUACUGACGGUACCGGAAGAAGAAG
rnacentral:rRNA from 1 species